UACGUAGGGUGCAAGCGUUGUCCGGAAUUAUUGGGCGUAAAGAGCUCGUAGGCGGUCUGUCGCGUCUGCUGUGAAAACUCGGGGCUUAACCCUGAGCUUGCAGUCGAUACGGGCAUGACUGGAGUUCGGCAGGGGAGACUGGAAUUCCUGGUGUAGCGGUGAAAUGCGCAGAUAUCAGGAGGAACACCGGUGGCGAAGGCGGAUCUCUGGGCCAUUACUGACGCUGAGGAGCGAAAGCGUGGGGAGCGAACAGG
rnacentral:rRNA from 1 species